UCGGGAAUUUUGGGCAAUGGGCGAAAGCCUGACCCAGCAACGCCGCGUGGAGGAUGAAGUCCCUCGGGAUGUAAACUUCGUAAGAAUAGGAAGAAUAAAUGACGGUACUAUUUGUAAGGUCCGGCUAACUACGUGCCAGCAGCCGCGGUAAUACGUAGGGACCAAGCGUUGUUCGGAUUUACUGGGCGUAAAGGGUGCGUAGGCGGCAUAUCAAGUCACUUGUGAAAUCUCCGGGCUUAACUCGGAACUGCCAAGUGAUACUGAUGUGCUAGAGUGCAGAAAGGGCAACUGGAAUUCUUGGUGUAGCGGUGAAAUGCGUAGAUAUCAAGAGGAACACCUGAGGUGAAGACGGGUUGCUGGGCUGACACUGACGCUGAGGCGCGAAAGCCAGGGGAGCAAACGGGAUUAGAUACCCUGGUAGUCCCUGAGCGGGCUGGCAAGGCGCAU
rnacentral:rRNA from 1 species